GAUGAACGCUGGCGGCGUGCUUAACACAUGCAAGUCGAACGAUGAUGCCCAGCUUGCUGGGUGGAUUAGUGGCGAACGGGUGAGUAACACGUGAGUAACCUGCCCUUGACUCUGGGAUAAGCCUGGGAAACUGGGUCUAAUACCGGAUACGACCAUCUGGCGCAUGUCAUGGUGGUGGAAAGCUUUUGUGGUUUUGGAUGGACUCGCGGCCUAUCAGCUUGUUGGUGGGGUAAUGGCCUACCAAGGCGACGACGGGUAGCCGGCGUGAGAGGGUGACCGGCAACAGUGGGAUGGAGACACGGCCCGAACUCAUGCGGGGGGAGGGGGGGGGGAAUAUUGAACAAGGGGCGCAGGCGGACUCACGCACCGCGGUGUGAGGGAUGGGGGCUUGGGGUUUGAAACCCCUUUGAGGAGGGAAACAAGGAAGGGGAAGGGUCCUUAAAAAGGAGGGCCGGGUAAAGAAGGGC
rnacentral:rRNA from 1 species